rnacentral:rRNA from 1 species
GAUGAACGCUGGCGGCGUGCCUAAUACAUGCAAGUCGAGCGAACAGACGAGGAGCUUGCUCCUCUGACGUAAGCGGCGGACGGGUGAGUAACACGUGGAUAACCUACCUAUAAGACUGGGAUAACUUCGGGAAACCGGAGCUAAUACCGGAUAAUAUAUUGAACCGCAUUGUUCAAUAGUGAAAGACGGUUUUGCUGUCACUUAUAGAUGGAUCCGCGCCGCAUUAGCUAGUUGGUAAGGUAACGGCUUACCAAGGCAACGCUGCUUAGCCGACCUGAGAGGGUGAUCGGCCACACUGGAACUGAUACACGGUCCUGACUCCUACGGGAGGCAGCAGUAGGGAAUCUUCCGCAAUGGGCGAAAGCCUGACGGAGCAACGCCGCGUGAGUGAUGAAGGUCUUCGGAUCGUAAAACUCUGUUAUUAGGGAAGAACAAAUGUGUAAGUAACUAUGCACGUCUUGACGGUACCUAAUCAGAAAGCCACGGCUAACUACGUG